GAUGAACGCUGGCGGCGUGCCUAAUACAUGCAAGUCGAGCGAACGGACGAGAAGCUUGCUUUUCUGAUGUUAGCGGCGGCCGGGUGAAUAACACGUGGAUAACCUACAUAUAAGACUGGGAUAACUUAGGGAAACCGGAGCUAAUACCGGCUAAUAUUUUGAACCGCAUGGUUCAAAAGUGAAAGACGGUCUUGCUGUCACUUUUAGAUGGAUCCGCGCUGCAUUAGCUAGUUGGUAAGGUAACGGCUUACCAAGGCAACGAUGCAUAGCCGCCCUGAGAGGGUGAUCGGCCACACUGGAACUGAGACACGGUCCAGACUCCGACGGGAGGCAGCAGUAGGGAAUCUUCCGCAAUGGGCGAAAGCCUGACGGAGCAACGCCGCGUGAGUGAUGAAGGUCUUCGGAUCGUAGAACUCUGUUAUUAGGGAAGAACAUAUGUGUAAGUAACUGUGCACAUCUUGACGGUACCUAAUCAGAAAGCCACGGCUAACUACGUG
rnacentral:rRNA from 1 species